GUCGACAGAAACGUUUCGUGUUUACUGUGACGAAGUGGGGAAACGUUUUCAGCUCGUUGCGAAACUAAACGUGUCCCUGGACUCUCGGUAGCAGCUGGUGCAUGGAGGAGAGAACAGGAAGCUGUGUGAUGUCCAUAGAUGGAGAAGUCCCCGGCUCCCGCAGCCUGAGUCCGGCUGCGCCUCGACCUGCGGCACGGGGAGGGGAGCCGGGCUCUACUCACCACGAACGCGGC